UACGGGGGGGGCAAGCGUUGUUCGGAAUUACUGGGCGUAAAGGGCUCGUAGGCGGCCAACUAAGUCAGACGUGAAAUCCCUCGGCUUAACCGGGGAACUGCGUCUGAGACUGGAUGGCUCGAGUGUGGGAGAGGGAUGCGGAAUUCCAGGUGUAGCGGUGAAAUGCGUAGAUAUCUGGAGGAACAUCGGUGGCGAAGGCGGCAUCCUGGACCAUGACUGACGCUGAGGAGCGAAAGCCAGGGGAGCAAACGGG
rnacentral:rRNA from 1 species